CAGGAAGGUCCCGGAGCUUAAACCAGAGACUAGAACACACAGGAAGGUCCCAGGGCUUAAACCAGAGCCUAGAACACACAGGAAGGUCCCGGAGCUUAAACCAGAGCCUAGAACACACAGGAAGGUCCCGGAGCUUAAACCAGAGCCUAGAACACACAGAAAGGUCUUGGUGCUUAAAUCAGCAACUGCUAUCAAACAAAGAAGCCAAAGUUCCACAGACAGACCGUGUCUCAAAAAGUCAAAACCAAGCCAAAUCAAAACAAUUAUUAACACGCAGGGAAGGUCCAAGAAUGUAAACCAGGGACUAUUUAAACAGUCA
rnacentral:lncRNA from 1 species